rnacentral:rRNA from 1 species
GGCAGCACGGGAGCAAUCCUGGUGGCGAGUGGCGAACGGGUGAGUAAUACAUCGGAACGUGUCCUGUAGUGGGGGAUAGCCCGGCGAAAGCCGGAUUAAUACCGCAUACGCUCUACGGAGGAAAGGGGGGGAUCUCAGGACCUCUCGUUAUAGGGGCGGCCGAUGGCAGAUUAGCUAGUUGGUGGGGUAAAGGCCUACCAAGGCGACGAUCUGUAGCUGGUCUGAGAGGACGACCAGCCACACUGGGACUGAGACACGGCCCAGACUCCUACGGGAGGCAGCAGUGGGGAAUUUUGGACAAUGGGCGCAAGCCUGAUCCAGCAAUGCCGCGUGUGUGAAGAAGGCCUUCGGGUUGUAAAGCACUUUUGUCCGGAAAGAAAUCCUUUGAGCUAAUACCUCGGGGGGAUGACGGUACCGGAAGAAUAAGCACCGGCUAACUACGUGCCAGCAGCCGCGGUAAUACGUAGGGUGCAAGCGUUAAUCGGAAUUACUGGGCGUAAAGCGUGCGCAGGCGGUUCGCUAAGACAGAUGUGAAAUCCCCGGGCUUAACCUGGGAACUGCAUUUGUGACUGGCGGGCUAGAGUAUGGCAGAGGGGGGUAGAAUUCCACGUGUAGCAGUGAAAUGCGUAGAGAUGUGGAGGAAUACCGAUGGCGAAGGCAGCCCCCUGGGCCAAUACUGACGCUCAUGCACGAAAGCGUGGGGAGCA